CCUGACGACCAUAGAGUGUUGGAACCACCUGAUCCCAUGCCGAACUCAGAAGUGAAACGACAUAUCGCCGAUGGUAGUGUGGGGUCUCCCCAUGUGAGAGUAGGUCAUCGUCAGGC
rnacentral:rRNA from 8 species